AUUCAAAUGCUUGUUUUGGUUAUGUUUAAGGGAACUCAUAAUUUUUAUCUUUGUCCACUGUUAGCUAUGUAAAACAACUCAAUAAAAGUUCACUUUUCAAUGAUUUAAUAGUUCAAUUGGUAAAAAUAGUAGGUGUUCAUUCUACAAAAAAUCACUGAGUUUUUUAUAUGUAAAGAAAGAAAUGGAAAUCUGUAAGUUCAUACAGGGACAUAUAUAUGAGGAACUUGGGUCCAGCACACGAGCAUUUGCGUCCACCACUAAGGGCAUUUGCAUCCCGCACACGAGCUACAUGCUUGACAGUUGAUCACUGCCGCCAUGAACAUGCACAAAUGAUAUUAAGUAGAAGUUUGUCAGUUCAGUUUUUUAUUGAUUUACCUUGUUUAAGUUGUAGUGCAGCAAUAAAAUGUGUAGUUGUACUGAAGUUUUAGUUGUUAUGUGGGGAACCCGGAAGCCAUUUAUUUUGGUUUACAGUUCAUCUUGUCUGUUCUUUUCAGCCUGUAUGCUUUAUUGUGCAUAAUCUUGAGGAAAUCCCCAAAAAUCAUGUGUGCACUCAAGGUAAUUAAGUGGCUUUGUAAAUUCUGACAGUCCAUCCCAUACUAAGCAAACAAUACAUGUUAGUCUUGGUUUGUGGUUAGACAUGCAAUCCGGUUUCAUAGAUGCUUCUGCUCAGACUGGAAAUACUAUGUUUUAGAUUCAGAGUUUAUAACACAUCAUUGGAUUCGCCAAGGCCGUGUCCUCCUGAGAUAAGAAGAGCGACAAGGAGUCCAGAUGGAAGAAGGAGAUCCGUCCAAAGUGUGAGUUUUGCGACGUCGACAUGCAAGUUCUACAAUUUAUCCGUCCAGAUGGGAGAAGGAGAUCAGUCCAACAGACGCAUCUAAAAAGCAACAUAUGCAGAGCCAUUCGCCCGAGAUAUAAACAAGCUGGUGGCCGCCCAUCUCUGCAUGUAUUUUAUUUGGGAUAGCCAAAUCCUGGCGCGCCCAGCCGCUGCUCAUGAACCCCGCCUCCAUCAUCUCCACUUCACCAGAGCCGUCAGUCCACAGGAGUAGGGGUAGCGGAUCCCCUAUACCGGCCAAAUCCCGGUGCGCCAAGCCGCUGCUCGUGAACCAUGCCUCCAUCAGCUCCACUACACCGGAGCGGUCAGUCCGCAGGAGUAGGAGUAGCAGGGACACAUUCAUGGCUUCAUUCAAUAAGUGGAAUGUGGGCAGAUGUUGAUCAACAAGUCUGCAGUAUUAAGUUCUCAGGUUAGAAAACGAUCAGUUCCAUGUGUAUUUAACAGCAGGUCCAUGUAUAUUUAACAGCAAGUCCAUGUAUUACUACAUGAGAGGUACUGCUAGCGAGACUUCACUGCUCCAUUCCAACAAACGUGUAUACGCAAGCCUGGGUUGGCAAAUUACUCUGCUACUGCUGGUUUCAGUUCCCUCACUGGAUUUGCAGGCUCACGACCAUCCUCUAACACCCCGUCAGUGCCACCGAUUUGAAGGAGCUCCAUGACUAGUAACUCUGAGUUCUAGUGCUCCUAACGAUCGUUUGGAAUCUUAUCUUCAAUAUCUUGCUGAUAUGGAACAGUAGAAUGUCGCAAUAUAUACUUGUACAAUUUUUUUAGUACUAAUGACUAGUACUUGCCUUGACAGUACAACGGCAUGCUUCGUUGCCGGUUGUGAGGAUGUGCAACAUAUGUUUAAGCAAACAUUUAUGUUGUAUUACAAAUAGAAAUCUUUCCUCUGUUCCAUAGAAGAUUGUGUGACUUCUUUAAACACAUUUUAGAAAAGAAGUGUACAGACUGUAGCUUAGCAUUUGAUAAUUGUUUGCAACAUGUACAACCCGUGGAUGAUUAUGUAAUUGUUUUCAUGCGUUAUCAUAUGUCCAACAGUUCAGUA